GGCUGGUCUAAUGAUGGUGGGUUAUCAGAACUUAUUAACAUCAGUGCCACUAAAGUUGGUAUUCAACCCCCCACUGCUAAAUUUGACUGGCUUUUA
rnacentral:Y_RNA from 1 species